ensembl:lncRNA
AUGAAGAUAUGGAAAUCUGGAUACCACCUAACACUAGAUGUCAUCCUUCCAUACCUCCACUCCUCUACCCCUCCAUCCCUCCUAUCCCUUCAUCCCCAUAAAACAGGUCUUCUGCGAGCGGUGACAGGUAACUUCCACCGUGCUUCUCCUCUCGCCCCGUCCGGCACCGUCGCCUCGUCCUCCAUGGAAUACCUAGAGAUCCACCCCCUCUUCCCCCGCACGCCACAGCCAAUCAGGCGCCUCGAAACUCUCCAGGUGGCCAAUACUAGCCCAGACCACAUCCCCGCCCCCCCGGCUCCCUCUCCAAUCGGUAUGCACUCCUACGACUCCCUCUCCAAAGCCGAGCCAAUCGACGACGUCGUUGUUCCCGCCUCGGCCACACCCUGGUACAAACUGACCAAUGGGACCUUCUCACCUCCGCGACACGUCUCCGCCUUUCACCCUGACUCCUCCUACUUAAAAAAGGCGACCAUCCCCAGCCCCCCUGUCCUCAUCGUCAACCCCCAGCCUAAAAAGUCCUCCUCUAACUCGGGUGACUGGUGCGGAUCAGACACUAGCUGUAGCCCCCCCAGCACCUUCGGCAGCCCCCCAGGAGGCUCGGCCUUCUCCCCGCCCAAAUCAGCCUUCUCCCCCCUCAACCCAUCAUCUGCUUUUAGUCCUCCGUCCGCUGGGGGCAGCGUUGAGCCAGACAGCCCUUAUCACCGCGGUAGUAAAUUCCCUUCUAUGGGCAUCGGUCAGAUCCUGAAGAAGAAGGUUCCCUUCCAGCCGUUCAGUUUCAGGGCGGAGCAAGCGGUGGAGGAGGAUCUGGUGUCUCCGCCCCCUUACCACAUGCAGACGCUGCUUUGCGCCUCCGGGGCGCUCAAGACCCUCUGCUGAAGCAUUUUGGGUAACGGGACAACGACGACGAUCAAAGACCACGUGGAGGAUUAUGGCUCUGGUCCGAGGUUAGUGCCCAAUGAAACGAGGGGAUGAGAUGUCGUCGUUUCAGACAGUUUUGGAUCUCGAUCCUACUUCCUGUGUCCUCUUUUGGGGCAGGAAGUGGGCGUGGUUCUUCCUGAGCGGCCUUGGAACUUUUGUGAACUUUGACCUGUGAACUGUCCUCUGCUGAGGCAGUCACCAUGACGACACUAUGACUCUAGAUACACAGAGACACUCUGUCUGUCGGAGUGAAAGACUAUAAAAUAAAACACUGAAGACUAAAGGCGGUUUGAAAUGAAAUGAAAAUGACUCUUUUUUUACUGUCAACGAUUGUUUCUGCCGGUGAAAGGCCUUUGUGAAGACCAGUUGUGACUCCAGCGACUGGAACAUGUGAAGUAAAGCUCUACAGUGUCGGAGUUUUACCUGUCCUUGUUACAUAUUGUGUUGUGAGAGAGGGCUGAGUGACACACACACACACACACACACACACACAUUCAGGGAAAUGAAGGUGAGGUUUUAACAGUGGAAGUGGCUGUAUAAUCUAUUGUAAACCAAACCUACAACGACAUCAGGGGCUGAUUUCGCUGUAAGACUGUUAUGUCAUGAUGUUAUUCUAGAAAGUCCCUUCAGCUUGACAUUACUGUGGUUGUGUUCGUUAAGCCACAUAGUUACAGUCAAGCGAUACCAACAGCUGCCUGUGAGUCUGACCUCCUCUGCUGUCACGCUCAUUAAAACAAAAACAUUCUGUGAUCUGUGGUUAAGAUCAGUCCAUUAGUUAUGUGGAAUUUCUGCUGUGGUUUCAUUCCAACGGAACCUGACCUCAACCAAGGGGUUCUACCAUAGAACCAUAGAACCAUAGAGCGCGUUCUAAUUCUACGGUAUCCACGGUGACUAGUGUUCCACUGGAACCCAACACUGCAGAAUCCCUGUGAUAGUUUGUUUCUUAGCCAAUCACGUAACCUUCCAUACCUCUCUAACUUCCCUAUAGCCCUAUAAGGUACUGUUCUGAGUCCAACUGUCAACCUGUUGUGCAAUCAGCUUCUACAGUGGAAAUAUACAUCAUUCUAUAUGACAGUUUAACUAUUAGACGGUCCAUUCCUUAGGGUGCGUCCCGAAAUGGUAUUCUAUUCCCUACGUAGCACACUGCUUUUAACCAGAGCCCUAUAGACUGUAAAAUGUGUAGGAUACCAUUAGGGACUCUGUUAGAAGAUCCACCUGUUGAGACAGACAAGUUCUAUAAAAGUGUCAAAGGCUUACAAUGAGUUGUUGAGUGUUGCAACCCUGCCCUGCCUCAGACUGAAACAGGAGGAAGAGGAGGAGGAAGAGGAGGAGGAGGAGGGGGAGGAGGAGGAAGAGGAGGAGGAGGAGGGGGAGGAGGAGGAAGAGGAGGAGGAAGAGGAGGAGGAGGGGGAGGAAGAGGAGGAGGAAGAGGGGGAGGAGGAGGAGGAGGAGGAGGGGGAGGAAGAGGAGGAGGAGGAAGAGGAGGAGGAGGAAGAGGAGGAAGAGGAGGGGGAGGAAGAGGAGGAAGAGGAGGAGGGUUGAACUUCCACUAUCACGGCACGUAAAAGUGAUACAUUUCAUAUCGUCUUUAAGUGAUACUGACUGUAGUUUGUGCAAUAUUGCUAUAUGUGUGUUCUGCCUGCCGUAAACGACGGUAUCGCCAAGGUGCUUUCUGAACGAAUGGAAACGAUGGUGUUGUAGUGCUGUGACUGUUUACUGUGUAAUUCAUUCAUACUGUAUGAUUCCGGGGGUUCUAAAUGUUCCCGAUGAUGGAUUCUAGUGUUCUGGAUUCUAUGAUUUUUUUUAUUUUUAAACUACUACUGUCUUCUAUUACAUAUCGACUGUGACAUUCGACAUUGUCACAACACUGAUUCACCAGACUGUAUUGGACGAGCAAAUGCUUCCACUUUACACAAUGCUUCUCCCUUUUGACAUAGAAUGUCUUUCAUAUCUGUCAACACUUGCAUGCAAAACUGUUUUAAUACCGAUUUUUUUUAAUACGAAAAUGUCAAAACUUUAGAACUUUUUGAAAAUAUGAAAUGUCUUUUUUUCUUUUUUUUGGUCGAUAUUGCGAUUUGAAAUGAACGGACUUGAUUCGAGGUUCUUUUGUAAUGAAUAGCUUUUUGCUUUUGAGUGUCGAGAUUUUUACGAUGGCUUAUAAAAUAUUUUAAAUAUUUAUACUAAAUUCAUGAAGUCUCUGUCUGAUCCUUUUACUGCACCUGCUGCCCUGUCUGGGGGCAUGCCCAUAGACAAACGUGUGUGUGUGUGUGCGCAUGUGUGUGUGUGUGUGUAUAUAUACACGAUACUCAUAUACUUUGCCAAUAUAAACCAGAUAAUGAAAUGUAUACAUGGCAAACCAUCAAAC